rnacentral:rRNA from 1 species
CCUGGCCUUGACCAUGCUGAGAACUUUCCAGAGAUGGAUUGGUGCCUUCGGGAACUCAGACACAGGUGCUGCAUGGCUGUCGUCAGCUCGUGUCGUGAGAUGUUGGAUUAAGUCCCGUAACGAGCGCAACCCUUGUCCCUUAGUUACCAGCACCUCGGGUGGGCACUCUAAGGAGACUGCCGGUGACAAACCGGAGGAAGGUGGGGAUGACGUCAAGUCAUCAUUGCCCUUACGGCCAGGGCUACACACGUGCUACAAUGGUCGGUACAAAGGGUUGCCAAGCCGCGAGGUGGAGCUAAUCCCAUAAAACCGAUCGUAGUCCGGAUCGCAGUCUGCAACUCGCUGCGUGAAGUCGGAAUC